AAAUGAAUAGACGGGGACCCGCACAAGCGGUGGAGCAUGUGGUUUAAUUCGAAGCAACGCGAAGAACCUUACCAAGGCUUGACAUCCCACUGACGGACUCUUAACCGAGUCGUUCCUUCGGGACAGUGGAGACAGGUGGUGCAUGGUUGUCGUCAGCUCGUGUCGUGAGAUGUUGGGUUAAGUCCCGCAACGAGCGCAACCCUUAUCUUUAGUAACCAGCACGUAAUGGUGGGGACUCUAGAGAGACUGCCGGGGAUAACUCGGAGGAAGGUGGGGAUGACGUCAAAUCAUCAUGCCCCUUAUGUCUUGGGCUACACACGUGCUACAAUGGCUGCGACAGAGGGAAGCGAAGGGGUGACCUGAAGCGAAACCCAAAAAAGCAGUCCCAGUUCGGAUUGUAGUCUGCAACUCGACUACAUGAAGUCGGAAUCGCUAGUAAUCGCAAAUCAGAAUGUUGCGGUGAAUACGUUCCCGGGUCUUGUACACACCGCCCGU
rnacentral:rRNA from 1 species